rnacentral:rRNA from 1 species
GCUGGCGGCACGCUUAACACAUGCAAGUCGAACGGCAGCAGGAGCAAAGCUUGCUUUGCUUGCUGGCGAGUGGCGGACGGGUGAGUAAUGCGUAGGGAUCUGUCCUUUAGAGGGGGAUAACUUUGGGAAACCGAAGCUAAUACCGCAUAGUCUCUGAGGAGUAAAGUUAGGCGCAAGUCUGACACUAGAGGGUGAACCUACGUCCGAUUAGCUAGUUGGUAGGGUAAAGGCCUACCAAGGCGACGAUCGGUAGCUGGUCUGAGAGGAUGGACAGCCACACUGGGACUGAGACACGGCCCAGACUCCUACGGGAGGCAGCAGUGGGGAAUAUUGGACAAUGGGGGCAACCCUGAUCCAGCGAUGCCGCGUGUGUGAAGAAGGCCUGCGGGUUGUAAAGCACUUUAUUUGGGGAGGAUUGGAGCAUAGAUUAAUAGUUUAUGUUCUUGACGUUACCCAAAGAAUAAGCACCGGCUAACUCUGUGCCAGCAGCCGCGGUAAUACA